UUUCCCAUCGGCGCGGAGGCCCGGCGAUGAUGGCGGCGCAUGCAUGGCGGAGCCGGUGCGGCCGAGAGAGGAGCAGAACCGGGGGGCGCUCGCGUGGACGGCCCAGUGUGAGCGACAACAACAACGGCGCUCGUGCGCAUGGCGCGGCGGCGAUGGCAUGAUGCUCGCAAGCACGGCGCGUGCAGCGGCGGCUUCCGGGCGUAGCGACAAAAGGCAGAGUCACGCACACACGCGCACGCAUGGCUGAAACCCCCAUGGAGCGGUGGCGACGACGACAAUUACUGCUAUUUCCGGCGAGUUUCCUACAACCCGGCAAUUUGUUUACCAGAUCGAGUUUAAUUAAAUUCAGUAAAAGUCGUGGAUUCUUUCUGAUCUAAGGAUUUUGUUGCUUGAUAUAUUUUGGGAAUUUCAUCAAUUAGAUUGAGUCGGAUUCUAACUAAUUUAUAGGGUUUCCUGCGGAUGUGCGCAUAGAUUAAAAGAAAACUAUUGCACAUAAACAGUAAAGAUGAACCCUAGUUCAAUCUAACAGAAGAACAAGCCUAUAAACAUUUAUUU
rnacentral:lncRNA from 1 species